rnacentral:misc_RNA from 1 species
AAUUCUCAAAAACCCUUUUUUAAGUAGAAGGAUUUUUGGACUUGGAGGUUCAAUGCUUGCCUUUCACUUUUGAAAGCAAGCUCCUCUCAAAUGAAUUAGUGGGGUCUGCUUUGCUGAUCCUUGACGUGAUAAGAUGUUUCUACGUUUUGGAUUUGGCACUGUCCCUUUGGAUCCCUGCUCCUAACCGUCCUACGGACAAAACGAUGGUGCUCCGGUCGGUCAUCGGCUGGACCCACGAAAGAAAAA